GACGAACGCUGGCGGCACGUUUAACACAUGCAAGUCGAACGGAAAGGUCCUGUUUUUGUGGGGUUCUCGAGUGGCGAACGGGUGACAAACACGUGAGUAACCUGCCCUUGACUAUGGGCUCACUUCAGGAAACUGGGGAUAAUACCGGAUAGGACCUCCCGCCGCAUGGAGGGGGUUGGAACGUUUCGCCGGUUGGGGGUGGAAUCGCUGAUUAUCAGCUUGUUGGUGGGGUAGUGGCUUACCACGGCUUUGACGGGUAGCCGGCCUGAGGUGGUGGCCGGCCACGUUGGGACUGGGGGACGCCCCAGCCUCCUACCGGAGGCAGCGGUGGGGUACAUUGCCCAAUGGGCGGAAGCCUGAUGCAUCAACGCCGCGUGCGGGAUGACUGCCUUCGGGUUGUAAACGGCUUGCGCCUGUGACGAAGCGUGAGUGACGGUAACGUGUAAAGAAGCACCGGCUAACUACGUG
rnacentral:rRNA from 1 species